UUUUAAUUGCUUUGUAUCCUGAAAAUUGCAGUGUUCUUUUUCUUAUACUCAUUGACUUCAGUUAUGUGCUGGGCCCACAGGCAUGUAAGUGUUCCAUUCCUGCCAGAGCCAUUGCAUGCUGUGAGUUCAGAGGAUGAUGAGACCUUGAAUGGCUGGAGUGGAUGUCACACUUGUUAGGUGGCUGCUAUAAUGUGAUGAGCACUGUGUAAGCAUGGUAUCUCACUGACUGCUCACAGAAGGCUCCAUAAGAGGCACAGGCCCUACUGUUUGCAAAUGGAUAGCAAGCAAAUAUCUCAUGACGAAUCAAGAGGAGCAAGAAGAAAGAAACAUUUCUCCUGGGAAAUGACUUACAUGUCCAGUCAUGCCAUUUAGUCCCACCUUCAGGACCCACCCAACUCCAGGCUUCUGGGUCAAUUCUCUUGGUCAAGAAAUAAGAGCUCAGAAGGAUGAUGGUAUAACAUUGGAGAAAGGGUGUUGGAACCUCACUCACCUGUAUUUGCCUUCCUGUACAACUUGAGCAGAAGUUGGAAAGUGGAGGACUGGAACAAGCAACCUUUCUCACAGUGACAUAGAAUUGGAAAAAGCACUCAGAAAGGCUUGGAGAGGCCCAUGUGGAAGGAUUUGAGGGAGACCUCUAACCAACAGCCAGCAAGGAACUGUGGUCCUUCACCCAAUAGCCAUUGAGGAACUGGAACCUGCUAACAGCCAUGUGAAUGACUUGGAAGUGGAUCAUCCCUCGAUUGAGCCUUUGAAAGAGACCACAACUGCAGCUGACAACCUGAUUGUAGUAUUGUGAAAGAUUUGGAGCCAGAGGCAUCUGGAUAGGUUGUACUUGGAUUCCUGACCCACAGAAAUCCACAGAUAAUGUUUGUUGUUUUCAAACGUUAAUUUUGGAGUAAUCUGUUACAUGAAAAGAGACAACUAACAUAAAGGUCAUAAAAGCAAUAAAUGUCCCUGUUCUCUUGGAACCCAGGGGAUCUAAUUUCAGUGAACAGUCUGUUCACCUGUAUGUGACACUGACUUUGAUUAAUCUGUACCUUUAUAAGACACUAUUUCUACUAUA